rnacentral:rRNA from 1 species
GACGAACGCUGGCGGCGUGCUUAACACAUGCAAGUCGAACGGAAAGGCCCUGCUUUUGUGGGGUGCUCGAGUGGCGAACGGGUGAGUAACGCGUGAGUAACCUGCCCUUGACUUUGGGAUAACUUCAGGAAACUGGGGCUAAUACCGGAUAGGAGCUCCUGCUGCAUGGUGGGGGUUGGAAAGUUUCGGCGGUUGGGGAUGGACUCGCGGCUUAUCAGCUUGUUGGUGGGGUAGUGGCUUACCAAGGCUUUGACGGGUAGCCGGCCUGAGAGGGUGACCGGCCACAUUGGGACUGAGGUACGGCCCAGACUCCUACGGGAGGCAGCAGUGGGGAAUAUUGCACAAUGGGCGGAAGCCUGAUGCAGCAACGCCGCGUGCGGGAUGACGGCCUUCGGGUUGUAAACCGCUUUCGCCUGUGACGAAGCGUGAGUGACGGUAAUGGGUAAAGAAGCACCGGCUAACUACGUG